rnacentral:lncRNA from 1 species
UGAUUUUAUUUGGUCAUUAUGCUUAUUUUUAUAAUUUUCUUGAUACUUUCUAAAUUUAUGUUUCUUGUAAAUUCUUUCAGAUUUAUAAGGUUUUAUUCUUUUAUGUUUUGGUCCUUUUGUAGUUCCAAAUCCGAAUUGUUCACACCAAUUUCAUAGUUCUUUCCUAGAUUAUCUAUUUUCCAUUUUUAAUUUAUUUUGUAAUUUUAUAUCUCUGCAUAGUCUUAAUCCUGUUAAAUUAACACAUGUUAUUAAGUCUCCGUAUGUUAGGUCAUCAUAUGAAAUAUGCCCAAAUUUUUGUUCUAUUGUUUCUUUAACUUUUGUACAAAAUAAUCUUGGUAAUCCUGUUAGAAAUUUCUCUUUCCAAUGGUAAGCGUUUGGGUCAGCAAGACCGUAAACUCUUUUCAAAAAAUUGUCUUUAUACCAUUUAAAGUUUUCCAAUUUUCUACAUUUGAGAUUUUGUAAAAUUUCGCUAUUCCUUUCUGUAUAAAAGUCUAAGUCUCCUAUGAAAUGUGAUAUGAUAUUAUAAACUAGAUAUGUUAAUAUGAAAGAUUGAGGUUGUCCUGUAGUUGGAUCUAAUAUAAAUUCUCCUGUGGUAUUAUUUAUUCUUCUAGCUGAUAAUAUGUUUUCUUUUAUUUCAUUACUUAAAAGUUUGUCCCAUCAUGUCCUGAGUUCUCCUGUAAAUCCUAGUAUUAUAUUUUCAGCAGCUUCUUUUUCUGUGAUACCUACCCUUUGUUU